UACGUAGGGGGCAAGCGUUGUCCGGAAUCAUUGGGCGUAAAGAGCGUGUAGGCGGCCAGAAAAGUCCGCUGUGAAAACUCGAGGCUCAACUUCGAGCUGUCGGUGGAAACUUUCUGGCUAGAGUCCGGAAGAGGAGAAUGGAAUUCCUGGUGUAGCGGUGAAAUGCGCAGAUAUCAGGAGGAACACCAGUGGCGAAGGCGGCUCACUGGACUGGUAUUGACGCUGAGGUGCGAAAGCGUGGGGAGCAAACAGG
rnacentral:rRNA from 1 species